rnacentral:rRNA from 1 species
AGAGUUUGAUCAUGGCUCAGAAUCAACGCUGGCGGCGCGCCUAACACAUGCAAGUCGAACGAGAAAGGGUAGCAAUACCUGAGUAAAGUGGCGUACGGGUGAGUAACACGUGGAUCAUCUACCUUCUAGUGGGGAAUACCGUUGGGAAACCGACGACAAUACCGCAUAAGCUCGAGAGAGGAAAGCAGCAAUGCGCUGGAAGAGGAGUCCGCGGUCGAUUAGUUAGUUGGCAGGGUAAAGGCCUACCAAGACUGUGAUCGAUAGCCGGCCUGAGAGGGCACACGGCCACACUGGCACUGAAACACGGGCCAGACUCCUACGGGAGGCAGCAGUGGGGAAUCUUGCACAAUGGAGGAAACUCUGAUGCAGCGACGCCGCGUGAGCGAUGAAGCCCUUCGGGGUGUAAAGCUCUUUCGUCAGGGACGAUUAUGACGGUACCUGGAGAAGCAGCUGCGGCUAACUACGUGCCAGCAGCCGCGGUAAUACGUAGGCAGCAAGCGUUGUUCGGAGUUACUGGGCGUAAAGGGUGCGUAGGCGGCUUUUUAAGUUUGGUGUGAAAUCUCCCGGCUCAACUGGGAGGGUGCGCCGAAUACUGAGAAGCUAGAGUGUGGGAGAGGAAAGUGGAAUUCCUGGUGUAGCGGUGAAAUGCGUAGAUAUCAGGAGGAACACCGGUGGUGUAAACGGCUUUCUGGACCAUAACUGACGCUGAGGCACGAAAGCGUGGGUAGCAAACAGGAUUAGAUACCCUAGUAGUCC